GAGGUUGAGGGCGGCGGAG
rnacentral:misc_RNA from 1 species